UACGUAGGGGGCUAGCGUUGUCCGGAAUCAUUGGGCGUAAAGAGCGUGUAGGCGGCUUGGUAAGUCCGCUGUGAAAGUCCAGGGCUCAACCCUGGAAAGCCAGUGGAAACUGUCAAGCUAGAGUCCGGAAGAGGCGAGUGGAACUCCUGGUGUAGCGGUGAAAUGCGCAGAUAUCAGGAAGAACACCAAUGGCGAAGGCAGCUCGCUGGGACGGUACUGACGCUGAGGAGCGAAAGCGUGGGUAGCAAACAGG
rnacentral:rRNA from 1 species